rnacentral:rRNA from 1 species
UACAGAGAGUGCAAACGUUGUUCGGAAUUACUGGGCUUAAAGCGCACGUAGGCGGCCUCGUAAGUGUGGAGUGAAAUCCCACGGCUUACCCGUGGAACUGCUUGGCAGACUGCGAUGCUCGAGUGUGGUAGGGGAGAGCGGAACUCCUGGUGGAGCGGUGAAAUGCGUAGAUAUCGGGAGGAACACCAGUGGCGAAGGCGGCUUCCUGGCCUGUUCUUGACGCUGAGGCGCGAAAGCUAGGGGAGCAAACGGG